rfam:Aedes aegypti strain Liverpool supercont1.742 genomic scaffold, whole genome shotgun sequence.
AGUCCAGUAACUCCUAUCCCUACCUUUCCGUGGUGCCGUCUGGGGUACGAGUAACCGUAGGGAAGAUCGGUGGGACCUUGGUCAUAUGCUGACAGGGGUAGG